rnacentral:misc_RNA from 1 species
UUUCAUCAACAAGGAGCUCUUCAUCAAUAGCAAUUGCUAUGAUUGCUAUGUUAUAUCCUAAAGCAUCGCAUUCGAUAAAUUGCCACUGUCGCCCUGUAUGUCUUCACGAUUCAAAUCAACUCCACGAGCCAAAACAGACGAAACACGCCCGUUGGUGCGCAGCUCCACCAGAACACGCCCAGAGCAUGUUCCUCUCUGCUUGGAAUGACUUCUGGUCUCUUCCCACAUAAAACGCGGAAAACGAACCCGACG